GCUGUGACUCCUCCUCCCUGGUCCCGCCCACUUCCCUCUGCUUCCUGGAGUAGUUCACAGCUGCACCUCAUCAGUUCAUUUAGCUGUUUGCCUAUUUAAGUUCCCCUGUUCCAUCUCUGUGUUGGAGCGUGUUACUUGGUUUUCUAGUCAUGUUAUUUGCUAGUUUUUAUGUUAGCGCUUUUCCCUUUUCCCCGUCCAGGAUGCCGUAACAUUUACGCCGGAUUCAAACACAACCCUGUAUUUAUCCAGGCUGGAGACCGGCACAGGGAGAUCCAGACUUUGGACCCCCUCGUGGCUACAUAGUUAUGCAGGUAGAGUUCAGCCUAAGGAUCUACACUGGAUUAAGAUUAUCAUGGAAAUGAACCCUGGUUUCACAUUCACCAGUCCUACAUGCAGCCAGCUGAGCCAUCCGGCCGCUAUCUGAAAUCCUCUGGAGCCUAUAAUCAAUGAGGGGAUCAGCGUCUUGCUCAAGGACACAUGGGUGCGCAGAGUGGGAAUCGAACCUCCAAUCCUCCAGUCAGAGGUCGACCGCUCUGGCUCUACACCACACCCUGAGAGAGUAUGCUGCACUGGCCAGGACUGGAUGAAAAAUACAUUUUCAGUUUCAGUUGAACUUUCCUGGUUUAAUGAAAAUAAAGAAAUGCAUAAAUCCAUAACAAAACAAACCUCAC